AUGUAGAAAUUCCACCUUCAGAUCUCUCCUCUUCAUCAUUAUUUUUUAGAUGAAUGCACUGAGAAGCCAGCAACAGCAUCAGAAUGUCUCUCGCCCUCACACAAGGAGCAAACGAAGCAGAACAUCAAAAGGAUGGCGCUAGAGCUGGUUUUGGAGGCUUAAGCAGGAAGCAGAGAGUGGGUGUGCUUUCCAGGAAGGAAACAGUGGUACGGGGCGUGGACCAUGCGGUUGGCUUUCUGCUUUAAGGUUCAGCCAUGGGAUGACUCUAACUCGAUGUCCUAAAUCAGCCUGUCCAACGCAAAUAUAGUACCAGCCACAAAUGCAAGCCACAAAUGUGAUUUUAAAUUUUCUCAUAGCCACAUUAAAAAAGAGAAAUGAAUGUAAUUAAUUUUAAUAAAAUAUUUAAUUUAAGCCAAAAUAUCAAAAAUAUCAUUUCAACAUGUAAUUGAUGUGAACAAUAUUAUUAAUAAGACACCUUACCUAAUUUUAUUAUACAAAGUCUUUGUAAUUCAUUGUGUAUUUUACACUUACAGAAUAUGUCAAUUUGAACUAGCCACAUUUCAAGGGCUUAAUAAUACCCUUGUCUGAAAUGCUCACCUGCAGUGCAAACCCAGAAUAAUUUAGUCCUUUCACAAGGUACCAAUUGGUGCCCAGGCACUAGCAUAUCAAAUAUACAACAGGGGGCUAAAAUAGCACUUGAAAUAUAGUGAGAUGGGGAUUUUUUUUAAAAAAAAUUUACUAGAAUCCUCUCAAGGGGAACAUGUAUCAUAUGUGGUUAUGAGAAAUCCUUUGAAAAGUUUGCCGUGGCCAAAAGAAGGGUAGGAGGUGGAGAUGGAGAAACUCCGAUGAAGAACUCCUAGGUCCUAGGUCAAUCGCUGAACUUGGAUCUCUCAGAGAUUUCACCAUUUUUAAAAAUUACUUUUCUAGGGCCAAGACAAAGGUCAAUAGUGACUCAAUUUAUUAUUGGAAAAAUUUUAACAACUUCAAUCUCUAAUAAGAGGGCCUGAACAAAAUUGUGAACCACCCACAUGAAAGAAUAUUUUGCCAUGAUUAAAAUACUAUUUAGAAACAUGGGGAUAUACCUAAUAUAGAACGGUAAGUAGAGGAGGAAAGCAGGACUGAGUGUAAUUAUUCAUACAAGCUGAACCAUAUUUAAUAAGUGCAAAAGAAAUAUGCCAAAAUAUUGCCAUUGUUUUUAUUAGGAAGUAGCAUCAUGGGUGAUUUUUCUGGACUUUUCAAUGUUUUUCUAAUGAACACAUAUUACUUUGAGGAUUAUCAGGAAGGGGAUAAAACAAAACCCAAUGACUCACUUGCCAGAAUUUCCCCGGUUCUGUAACUACUUAAUUACAUAUGUGUAUUUACAA